rnacentral:rRNA from 1 species
AGAGUUUGAUCAUGGCUCAGAUUGAACGCUGGCGGAAUGCUUUACACAUGCAAGUCGAACGGCAGCACGGGGGCAACCUGGUGGCGAGUGGCGAACGGGUGAGUAAUACAUCGGAACGUGCCCAAUCGUGGGGGAUAACGUAGCGAAAGUUACGCUAAUACCGCAUACGAUCUACGGAUGAAAGCGGGGGAUCGCAAGACCUCGCGCGAGUGGAGCGGCCGAUGUCAGAUUAGGUAGUUGGUGGGGUAAAGGCUCACCAAGCCAACGAUCUGUAGCUGGUCUGAGAGGACGACCAGCCACACUGGAACUGAGACACGGUCCAGACUCCUACGGGAGGCAGCAGUGGGGAAUUUUGGACAAUGGGCGCAAGCCUGAUCCAGCCAUUCCGCGUGCAGGAUGAAGGCCUUCGGGUUGUAAACUGCUUUGUACGGAACGAAACGGCGAGCUCUAAUACAGUUUGCUAAUGACGGUACCGUAAGAAUAAGCACCGGCUAACUACGUG